rnacentral:rRNA from 1 species
AUUGAACGCUGGCGGCAGGCUUAACACAUGCAAGUCGAGCGGGGUGAUGGUGCUUGCACUAUCACUUAGCGGCGGACGGGUGAGUAAUGCUUAGGAAUCUGCCUAUUAGUGGGGGACAACAUCUCGAAAGGGAUGCUAAUACCGCAUACGUCCUACGGGAGAAAGCAGGGGAUCACUUGUGACCUUGCGCUAAUAGAUGAGCCUAAGUCGGAUUAGCUAGUUGGUGGGGUAAGGGCCUACCAAGGCGACGAUAUGUAGCGGGUCUGAGAGGAUGAUCCGCCACACUGGGACUGGGCCACGGCCCAGGCUCCUACGGGAGGCAGCAGUAGGGAAUAUUGGACAAUGGGGGGAACCCUGAUCCAGCCAUGCCGCGUGUGUGAAGAAGGCCUUAUGGUUGUAAAGCACUUUAAGCGAGGAGGAGGCUCUUUUGGUUAAUACCCAAGAUGAGUGGACGUUACUCGCAGAAUAAGCACCGGCUAACUCUGUGCCAGCAGCCGCCGUAA